CACCCACCCGUGUUUACAUACUAUUGUUGCUUUGGGGGGACGUGNCCUCCACUGCGGGCUCUGCUCGUGUGUGCCCGCCNGAGGACCAAACUCUGAAUGUUAGUGAUGUCUGAGUACUAUCUAAUAGANAAAACUUUCAACAACGGAUCUCUUGGUUCUGGCAUCGAUGAAGAACGCACCGAAAUGCAAUAAGUAAUGUGAAUUGCAGAAUUCAAUGAAUCAUCGAAUCUUUGAACGCACAUUGCGCCCUGUGGUAUUCCGCAGGGCAUGCCUGUUCGAGCGUCAUUUAACCACUCACGCCUAGCGUGGUAUUGGGGCACGCGGUCUCCGCGGCCCUCAAAAUUAGUGGCGGUGCCGGUGGGCUCUGAGCGUACUACAUACUCCCGCUAUAGAGUUCCCCCCGGUGGCUCGCCAGAACCCCCAAUUUUUACGGGUUGACCUCGGAUCAGGUAGGGAUACCCGCUGAACUUAAGCAUAUCAAUAAGCGGAGGAA
rnacentral:rRNA from 1 species